rnacentral:rRNA from 1 species
AAGAUAAAAUUCAAAGGAAUUGGCCGGGGCCUGCACAAGCGGUGGAGCAUGUGGUUUAUUUAGAAAGCAACGCGCAGACCUUUACCAGCGUUUGACAUCCUGAUCGCGGUUACCAGAGAUGGUUUCCUUCAGUUCGGCUGGAUCAGUGACAGGUGCUGCAUGGCUGUCGUCAGCUCGUGUCGUGAGAUGUUGGGUUAAGUCCCGCAACGAGCGCAACCCUCAUCCCUAGUUGCCAUCAUUCAGUUGGGCACUCUAAGGAAACUGCCGGUGAUAAGCCGGAGGAAGGUGGGGAUGACGUCAAGUCCUCAUGGCCCUUACGCGCUGGGCUACACACGUGCUACAAUGGCGGUGACAGUGGGCAGCAACUCCGCGAGGAGUAGCUAAUCUCCAAAAACCGUCUCAGUUCGGAUUGUUCUCUGCAACUCGAGAGCAUGAAGGCGGAAUCGCUAGUAAUCGCGGAUCAGCAUGCCGCGGUGAAUACGUUCCCAGGCCUUGUACACACCGCCCGUCACACCAUGGGAGUUGGUUUCACCCGAAGGCAGUGUUGUAACCCUCAAGGGAGGAAGCUUAGCAC